AGAGUUUGAUCCUGGCUCAGGAUGAACGCUAGCGGCAGGCCUAAUACAUGCAAGUCGAACGGUUGUAGCGAUACAAUAGUGGCGCACGGGUGCGUAACACGUAUGCAACCUACCUUAUAGACGGGGAUAGCCUUUGGAAACGGAGAUUAAUACCCGAUAGUACUAUUGACUGGCAUCAGUUAAUAUUUAAAGAUUUAUCGCUAUAAGCUGGGCAUGCGUCCAAUUAGUUAGUUGGUUAGGUAACGGCUGACCAAGACGAUGAUUGGUAGGGGAACUGAGAGGUUAAUCCCCCACACUGGCACUGAGAUACGGGCCAGACUCCUACGGGAGGCAGCAGUAGGGAAUAUUGGGCAAUGGAGGCAACUCUGACCCAGCCAUGCCGCGUGCAGGAUGAAGGCGUUAUGCGUUGUAAACUGCUUUUAUAUAGGAAGAAACAGACCUUGCGAGGUAAUUUGACGGUACUAUAUGAAUAAGCACCGGCUAACUCCGUGCCAGCAGCCGCGGUAAUACGGAGGGUGCAAGCGUUGUCCGGAUUUAUUGGGUUUAAAGGGUGCGUAGGCGGUUUAUUAAGUCAGUGGUGAAAGACGGUCGCUCAACGAUUGCAGUGCCAUUGAUACUGGUAGACUUGAGUGAGAUUGAGGUAGCUGGAAUGGAUAGUGUAGCGGUGAAAUGCAUAGAUAUUAUCCAGAACACCAAUUGCGUAGGCAAGUUACUAAGUCUCAACUGACGCUGAGGCACGAAAGUGUGGGUAUCAAACAGGAUUAGAUACCCUGGUAGUCCACACUGUAAACGAUGAUAACUAACUGUUGGCUUUCGGGUCAGUGGUACAGAGAAAUCGUUA
rnacentral:rRNA from 1 species